GACGAACGCUGGCGGCGUGCUUAACACAUGCAAGUCGAACGGAAAGGCCCUGCUUUUGUGGGGUGCUCGAGUGGCGAACGGGUGAGUAACACGUGAGUAACCUGCCCUUGACUUUGGGAUAACUUCAGGAAACUGGGGCUAAUACCGGAUAGGAGCUCCUGCUGCAUGGUGGGGGUUGGAAAGUUUCGGCGGUUGGGGAUGGACUCGCGGCUUAUCAGCUUGUUUGUGGGGUAGUGGCUUACCAAGGCUUUGACGGGUAGCCGGCCUGAGAGGGUGACCGGCCACAUUGGGACUGAGAUACGGCCCAGACUCCUAUGGGACGCAGCAGUGGGGAAUAUUGCACAAUGGGCGGAAGCCUGAUGCAGAAACGCCGCGUGCGGGAUGACGGCCUUCGGGGUGUAAACCGCUUUCGCCUGUGACGAAGCGUGAGUGACGGUAAUGGGUAAAGAAGCACCGGCUAACUACGUG
rnacentral:rRNA from 1 species